rnacentral:lncRNA from 1 species
UCCACCUUAUGGCCCGUUUCUUUGGACUAUAUGCUUGGGUAGGUAACAGUCAAUUCCCAAUCUUCUGAGACUUCGAUGAUAUAGGGUUCACGGCUGACGGAGUGGUUUAAAAUGUAGGGUUUAUGGGAGUUUGUAUAUGCGUUUAUAAAUAAUUGAUAGUUUGCGUGUAUACGCUUAUCAUUUUAUUUCACUUCAAAGUUAAUGUUCAUAUUUUCUUUUGGAUUGAAGGAAGUACCAUGACAUCAAUUUCAUCAUGUACCAAUAUUUUGAUUGUUUUUGAAUAAUGGUUAAAGCUUCUGUACUGGUUUCGUGAGAAAACAACAUUUAAUUAUGGAGGAAUGGAGAUCCAGUGAUAUGCCACUAUCAAAGCCCUCAAAGGGCCCCUCAUAUUGUACGUUUGCUCUCUCUCUCUUUGAAGCUUUUUUUUUCUUCCUUUAUUUGCGUCUGUCAGUGAAGGAAACAAGGGGGAAGGUAAUUGGUACUAGCAGCCAAUGGCUUGCACUGACUUGUCCUUCUCCGUGCCUCUGCUAGUGCUUGCAAAUAUCAGAACCAAAUUUUUUCAGAGACUUAAUUAUUGAUCCUAGAAUAUUUGAGAAUGAUGAAGAAUUGAAAGGGUUAAUUUAUCUUCUUAUUGUGCAUUUUCCUGGAGUUUUUUCUUAACCAAAGGCAGAAGUUUAUUGAAUCAAAAAGAUGCAUGUCCUUACCAAGUUUGCCUAUAUUUGAACACCGACUCAAAUGUCCUUUUCUCAUUUUAUCCUGUCUAUUUUCUUUUCCAAGUUCUAGGCAGACAGGGACAAUGUCCAAAAAUUACUGCUUUUUUGGCAAUCUUGUAUUAGACUAAUAUCAAAAGCUCCAGAACCUAAUUUGCUCUUAAAGGGAGAUUUUCCGGCCUACUUUACUGAUGGGCACAGUACAAUAUGAACUUUAGAGUGUGUGGAAUUUUAUGCAUUAGAGUCAAAUUGAGGCAAAAUUCAUGUGGCUUUUCCUCUCCAAAAUAAUUGCUCCCUCCCUCCUUCCCUCCCUCCAAUUAUUUCAGGUAAGCAUUGACAUCACCGUAUCAUCAUUGCCAAAUGCCUGCAGCAACCCCCACUUCAGUAUAGAAAUGCAACAUGGAGAGACACAUGCAUACAUACAUACAUACAUACAUACAUACAUACAUACAUACAUACAUACAUGCAUACAUGCAUGCACACAUCCAUACAUGCAUACUACAUAUGAAGACUGGCAUGUUCCAAUAGGAGGGCCGAGAUCAAAUUCAUUAAGAUUGUAACCUUAAAAAAACAGCCGGAGAAGCAGUGAGUAUGUUGAUGAUAAGUAACCCAUCAGAGAUCGCCAGGGAGCUAAGCUGCAGAGAAGAGCCCCAAAAGUGGUCAUUGUCGAUUUGUCAUUCAAACCAAACUAUAGGACCACCAGAUGGAGAACUAUGUUCUAUUGGUCCACUGCCUAAGCAUACAACUGUCUUGCAUAAGCUCAACCAGACUCACAUUCCUCCUAUAUGGUAAAUAGGUUCAAAUUUCAACACAUAAAGGUUCUCGCAUGCUGCUUCUUCUUGUUGUUGGUUUUUGUUUUUUAUUUUUUUUUGCCAAAGUUAGAAAGCAGAAGGGGAUUUUUCUUACACACAUAUUGACAAGAUGCCAUAUAGAUGUGAACCUGAGACCACCGAUCAUCAAAUCAAUACUAUUUUUCAUUAGGUUAGACCCCUGUAUGAUCAACCCCUGCUGCAAACUAGAACAGUAAUGCUCUUAAUUUGGCAUUAGAAACACAAAAAGAAUGAUUACUGAUCAGAUUUAGUACUCCUUACUUAUAAAAUUUGAAAAACAUUAGGAAUUUUAUUUUUACACUUACCAAGUUGGACCAUGCAGACGCAGAGAGCUGCCCCUGAGGGUUGAUUGUUGCAUCUCUGUGGCCUUCCAAUCAGCCCUUCCUACUGCAGGGGGAAGACCCAAAAGUUGGGAAACUAAAAAGGCUUGGAAUACUGAGAGUCUGAUCGCUAAAGGCUUGGAUUUACAGACUAGCAGCCGCCUUCAUGGUAGCAGGAAAAUAUUAAACAAGUUCAUGGGCCACUCUAGAUAAAGGGAUAAACUUUCUGGCAAGGAAAUAAACAUGGUCUCAGUUAAAUUUAAACUAAGGCCUCUUGUUGCGAGUGCUUUCAUGGGCAAAGCCCAAGAAGAAAAGAAGAUGGUCCCACAAACACAAUUGCUAUCUUUCUCUGAGC